rnacentral:misc_RNA from 1 species
AACAAGUCUUUUGAAAUGCUUGUGUACAAUUUGGAUAAAGAUGUUGCACAACAGCAGAGUGAUGAUUAUGUCCUUGAAAACUUUUGGAAUAAUUUAAGUACAAUUUCUCAAAAGCUGUCCUUUGAAUGCACUAAGGUUGGCAUUUGCUUCACCAAAUCUCCAAUUCCAACAGCUAAUGAAACAUCAAGUCUCCUUACGUCUGUGGAGCAAGCUGUCCUCUCCUUGGUGUCUGUAUUCUACAGUCUCUCCCCAGUGUAUGGUAGUGUCCUUCAUUCUAAUGUCCAGUAUGCAGUUGUGCGAGCCAUUCAAGCUGCUCGGUUAUUGUUGAAGGUUAUAAAGGAUGAAGGGGGUGAAGCAAUACCUGAAAGGUACCAUCAGUCAACAGGUAUUGUAUGGCAGGGAUGCGAUCUAAUUGCAAAAUGUCCGCAAGAUAAUAAAGCAGCAGUUUUGAGAGAGUUACAUGGCCAAAACAAUCUUGUCUCGGAUGCCUUCACUGAAAUAUCAGAAGCACUUAAAGGGGAUGGAAGUGGAUGGAAUUGUUUAGAUGACAGUGAAGAUUAUAUGGAGGAGGAGGACAAGUGGACGAAUGAGGAUAAGGACCUCAUAGGGCCUUCUGUGAAUCUCAUCAAAGCUGCCAAGAUACUUUAUAAGAGAGUGUUAGCUGCAGUGGAGAAGAAUGGAUCGUGUGCCACUCCUGAUAAAGUGAAGGAGUUAGACCAAUUGUAUGAAGAUUGUAAACUUGUGUCCAAAACUGUUGACACAUUAAUCCUUGAGCUGUAUCCACCUCUGAAUGUAUCCAGUAUGGAAGAACAAUCUUGCCAGCUAGCAGACCUGCUGCGUACAGCCCUGAAGACCUGUGCUCAGAGUCACAUUGCCAGUGAAGCCGAACAGCCACACAUAGAUUUUUUGGACAAGGCUGUUGUACAUAAUCUUGACUGCAUGAAAGAAAAACUAAGUCAUAGAUAAUCAUUCGUCGAUUCAAGUUUUGUUAAUAUUCAGGAAUACAAUUGUAACCAUCAUUUACAAUGCAAGCAUUUAGUCUAGAGAAAUGCCUAGUAGGUAGAUCUUGCCUGGAGAAUGUUGUGUCUGUAAGAGCUUUAUACAAUUUAGCAAAUCUGUUGCCCAUGUUUCCUGUGUAUGAUGUAAUUAUGAAAGUUAGGGAAGCUAAACACAUUAGAGAAGAAUGUAUUGUAUUGGUACCCAUCUAAAAGCAGAAUAGAAGAGAAUUUAGCCUGGCUGCUCCACUUGCUAAAUACUUCAAGAAAUUAUGAAUUAAUUAAUCUGCAUAUCCAACCUGCACCACCUGGCUUUUUAUAAAGCCCUGCACCACCUGGCUUUUAUAAAGCCAGGCUUCAUAAAAGCCUGGCUUUCAUAAAGUAUUCCAAAUUACUUAAUUUGUUAUAAUACAGUACUUAGUUUUAUGUAAUGAAUGCCCUAUACUGGUAUUUCUACAGAAAGAAUGAAACCAAUACUUUUAAGUUUAUUAAAUCAAACAAAAUUUAACUUUAACACUGAACCACUGAUUUUUGUAGUAGUGGACAGUGUAGUAGGUUAAUGAAUGUCUCCAGCUUCUCCAGCUCGUGAGUUGAAGUAUUUGAACCAUUCUGGGCCAUGAAUAAUUGUUGGUAAAAACUUGAUAUUUUGAGUCUGAUGGUGCAGUGGUGUCUUAUCAGAAAACAAAGCUAAAUGUAUUCACCUCAUUGGAAGCCAAAAGUGUUAAGAUAUUCAAGUAAAUACUGUAAAUGUUAAAUUUAUGACUAUUGAUAUUGUUCAUUAAUAAAAAGAUGAGAUUUCUUUAAAUCA